AUAGGCCUACACAGCUUCGCGCGAGAUUUCGCAUCUGGAAAUAAACAAAGCAGUGAGACUAAAUGCCAUCGUCGUCUUCUACAAAGUGAUGGCCUUUUCGAUUCUGUUCUGGUCAAAUUACACAGCUGGUACAUCCAAAUCAAGGAGAAUAUCAAAAGUUGCUGUUCAGUCGGAAUAUAUUUUAAAGUUUGUGUUUGAACUUUGACAAAGAAGCAAAAUUUAUAUGGGGAAUUGUACAAAUCUCUAAGCGUGAUCAGAGCUACAAGGUUACGAUACAAAAAUGUAAGCAAAAGAGAUGUGAGACAGAGCUGGAUUUAACAUCCAGUGAGUGCACCACCUCGUCAGACUCAAACUAGGGAAGACUUUUUUCCUGCAUCUGACGGGUUUAGAAAUUACAGAGAUUCCAAAAAUUUGUUGGGAGAGAACUUACAAGCUGAAGAAAAACCACUCUUACCAUGAUCAAGAGCAGGGACGGCUUUUUGUAACCAAUUAACAUGCCUGUGAUUUUGAUUUAUGGACACCCAAAACUUUGUCAUUGUUCGAAUUCCUCACGAC